UACGUAGGGUGCGAGCGUUAAUCGGAAUUACUGGGCGUAAAGCGUGCGCAGGCGGUUUUGUAAGCCAGGUGUGAAAUCCCCGGGCUCAACCUGGGAAUGGCAUUUGGGACUGCAAGGCUGGAGUGCGGCAGAGGAGACUGGAAUUCCUGGUGUAGCAGUGAAAUGCGUAGAUAUCGGGAGGAACACCAGUGGCGAAGGCGAUCACCUGGGGUUGUUCUGACGCUGAGGAGCGAAAGCUAGGGGAGCAAACGGG
rnacentral:rRNA from 1 species